AACGAACGCUGGCGGCAGGCCUAACACAUGCAAGUCGAGCGGACCCUUCGGGGUUAGCGGCGGACGGGUGAGUAACGCGUGGGAAUAUGCCCUUCUCUACGGAAUAGUCCUGGGAAACUGGGGGUAAUACCGUAUACGCCCUUUGGGGGAAAGAUCUAUCGGGGAAGGAUUAGCCCGCGUUGGAUUAGGUAGUUGGUGGGGUAAUGGCCUACCAAGCCGACGAUCCAUAGCUGGUUUGAGAGGAUGAUCAGCCACACUGGGACUGAGACACGGCCCAGACUCGUACGGGAAGCAGCAGUGGGGAAUCUUAGACAAUGGGGGCAACCCUGAUCUAGCCAUGCCGCGUGAGUGAUGAAGGCCUUAGGGUUGUAAAGCUCUUUCAGCUGGGAAGAUAAUGACGGUACCAGCAGAAGAAGCCCCGGCUAACUCCGUG
rnacentral:rRNA from 1 species